GAUUAAGUUAUUAAGGGCGCACGGUGGAUGCCUUGGCACUAGAAGCCGAUGAAGGACGUUACUAACGACGAUAUGCUUUGGGGAGCUGUAAGUAAGCUUUGAUCCAGAGAUUUCCGAAUGGGGAAACCCAGCAUGAGUUAUGUCAUGUUAUCGAUAUGUGAAUACAUAGCAUAUCAGAAGGCACACCCGGAGAACUGAAACAUCUUAGUACCCGGAGGAAGAGAAAGAAAAUUCGAUUCCCUUAGUAGCGGCGAGCGAAACGGGAAGAGCCCAAACCAACAAGCUUGCUUGUUGGGGUUGUAGGACACUCUAUACGGAGUUACAAAGGACGACAUUAGACGAAUCAUCUGGAAAGAUGAAUCAAAGAAGGUAAUAAUCCUGUAGUCGAAAAUGUUGUCUCUCUUGAGUGGAUCCUGAGUACGACGGAGCACGUGAAAUUCCGUCGGAAUCUGGGAGGACCAUCUCCUAAGGCUAAAUACUCUCUAGUGACCGAUAGUGAACCAGUACCGUGAGGGAAAGGUGAAAAGCACCCCGGAAGGGGAGUGAAAUAGAACCUGAAACCGUGUGCUUACAAGUAGUCAGAGC
rnacentral:rRNA from 1 species